GCCGGAGUAGUUCAGUGGCAGAACGCAACCAUGGUAAGGUUGAUGCCGGGAGUUCGAUUCUCCCCUCCGGCU
rnacentral:tRNA from 1 species